AGGGAAUAGCUUCCAGACUGCGGGCAGGAGGACAGAAGAGCUGAAGUACGUGAGAUCUAAACCUGGAAGAUGACUGAGGCUCACACCUCAUUUGCUUCUCUGACCACUGCUGCUCACUGAACAGCUGUCUCCAGUGAUCUGUCCAUGAUGAUACAGCCAGUGCUACUUUAAUUUUGCUUGCAAAUAGGCAGCAACAGAUGGCACAAAGCAGAAAAUCUUGCCUAUUUGAGUUGUCCAAACCAACAGUUUCUUCUGAUAUGGAUCACAGCCUCAGUUCAAAAAAUGUUUUGGUUAUUUGUACAUUCACUGAAAAACAUCUUCUGAUGUUGGUCUCAAAAGCUUAAACUGUAACUGGUUCCUGAAGCCUCAAUUUUCAUGCUGAUGUCUAGAAUGUGAUGAAUUCUGUCAAUGAACAAAUUUGUAGCACACAAAUUUGAUAGAAGUAGGAUCAAGCUGAAGUAGAAUUCUCCAAAUUCUUCUUCUGACCCAAAAAAUCUGCUGCUUAAAUUAAAGUUUUUCACAUUGUGACACACACACACACACACACACACACACAAAACCAUCAAUAAAACAACAACAUUUUUUUUCUUCAGACUUAUGCUUCUUCCAAGGCAUGAGGUAUUAUGGAGCAACAGCUGCUAUGCAGUACCCUGAGUCUUCAGGUUGAAGCAUCAUCCUCAUUCUCUGUCCUGCUCUUCCUUCCUUCACUCCCUUGUGGAGGUGCUUUCCUUGGAAGCAUUGCUUGCUGCUUGCUUACAAUGUACUAUUUAUACUCUGCAAAGGAACACCAGCUCCUGUGACUUGACAGAUGACUAUCACAGACAUUCAGGAACGUGAGAAAGUGAUACAGGCUAUAAUGAGAUGAUGUAAAAUUCUAUUCAGCAUAUCAAACAGAACCAAUUUAAAAUUCAUAUAUGUUUAACUGGCAACCCAAUGCAGCUCUUUCAAGGGAGGUGAUAUGUGCUCCUGUCUUUAGCUUUUCUUCUGAGAACUGUCAGUCACAUUCUGCAUCAGCCUGGGUUUAUGCUUAGCUUUAUCAGGCAGACCAGUCAGCACUGAAUGGCAUUAAUGUCAUCUUGGGGUAAUGGAAGUGUAGAUAACCGUCCCAGAGACUGUUUGGGAAAAAGCUACUGCUGCAAGUAGCUGCAGGCUCUAUUGACCGCAUAAUUCACAUUUUUCUCAUAGAGGAGGGUAUGAUCUAUAAAUUGUUUUAGGCUUUCUUGCUGAUGAAAUAGCAAGAAUUUUGUUGCUGAUGGGCACAGGAAGCAGUAAUAAAUAGCCACAUGUGCAUACACAGGAAAGAAAAACGGUUUGCAUUUUUUCAGCAAAGCAAAGGAUUCAAAAUGUAGCCCAGCUUGUUUUGCAAGUUACAGCAAGGAGCAUGGAGAAAAAUGUAUUCUGUAUAACAAUGAUAACAUGAAUGAUAGCAUAGAUCAUUUACCCAUUGUGUAUUAGCUAUCUGCUGGAUACUGCAUCUACAGAAGCCAUUUCCUGAUGACAGAUUGCAGCAGCAUGAAAUAAUUUCUGAUGAAACAAAACUGAUAAACCUGCCUGAAAGCUUGUGGUACUUGUACACCUUUUUGAACUUGAGUUGUUAAAGGAUUACACUAUUUUUAGUGGUAGAUCUUUUGUUCACUGCUACAUAUGUUAUUUUUUGGGUGGGGCAUAUUAGCAGUGUCCUGGCAUACUAGCCAGAUGACUUGGGCUGGAGAUGUGCUUCACAAUAAAAUUGUUUCAAGCCUUUGGGUGAAAAGAAAAUAAAGA